UUAUAUUUAGUAACAAAACUUUUUUUCACAGCCUGAGAGAAAGUAUCAGACUGUAGGUCUAGAAACUUUGGACAAUACUGCAUCCAGAUGCACUUUCUGCAAAUACAUGGAGACCAGAGCCUGAGGUUUUGAAUUAUGAACCCUGAUGAGUGUAUUUUUAAAUCUGACUUUUUAUAACAGACAAAGACCACUGCAAGCCUGGGGCUGACAGAGCCUUAUAAAGAGCUGAAGAAAAGAAUGUAUACUCAAGGAGAAGCUGCACAGGAGAAAGCUCUGAAGCGCUGCUGCACCCUGAAAGUUUUUACCUAGC